AUACAAAGCGGUGUUCUUGAAUGUGUACUAUAUUCCCAUUUGAAAAAAUAAAUAAAAAUAAACCGCCUCCACACUCAGCUGGAUUUCUCCUCCUCUUCAAUAAUUCUUCCACCGUAUCUCUCUCUUCAAAACUCCUCUUCUAGGUCCUUGUUCGUUGGCUCCCCUCUCCUUGUCUCUUUGGCUGUUUAAUAUAUCAAAAAAGAAUUCAAGUUGGAGAGUGCACCAACUUUGAAAGGCUUAAUUUGGCUAUGGCACUAGUUGGAGCAACUCUCAUCACAACAUGCUGCAGACCAAUUUCAGAUCGUGUUGGUCGUCACCCUAUGAUGAUUAUCUCAUCGCUCUGUUACUUUGUUAGUUCUUUAUUAUGUUGUGGUCCACUAAUAUUUAUGUUCUACUCUUGCGUCGUCUAUUGGAUGGUUGCGGUAAUGGUUGGUAGUCACUCUUGUUCCUCUUUAUAUAUCAGAGACAACUCCAACUGAAAUAAGGGGUUCAUUGAACACACUUCCUCAGUUCACUUGUUCUGGUGGAAUGUUUGCCACGUACUGUAUGGUUUUUGGGAUGUCACUAAUGGAAUAACCUAGUUGGAGAUUAUGCUUGGGGUUCUUUUAGUUCCAUCCAAUAUUUAUUCUAUAUUAACUGUAUUCUUCUUACCAGAGUCUCCUUGUUGGCUUGUUAGUAAAGGAAGAAUGAACGAGGCUAAAAGGGUUCUUCGACAGUUGCAAGGCACGGAAGAUGUCUCUGUAUUUUAACAAAGCUCCUUCCUUGUAUUCUCAAAAAUUGAUCAGCUAAUGGAUGUGUGGAUCUCAUAUGUUACCGGAUAUCACCAGCCAAAGAUCAUUUUGUCAAUGAAUGAUACGAGUUUGUUAUUGAAUGAAAGGUUUGGGGAUGAUAUAUUUGUUAAUAUAUGAAAUAUUUUUCCUUUUGGUAGAUUGAGUGAAUAUGAUAUAUUGUAUGUAUUUAUUUUUGUUGUACGA